CUUGAGUAAAUCCUAACAGCAGGAUAGCUGGUUUGUAUGGUCCAUUUUUGCCCGCUGCCCAGAAAGCCAAUCACCGAGACGACAAGAUUGCAGAGAGAGAGGGUUUAGUCACAAGGCAACCAAGUGAGGAAAAUGGGAGAACAAGUCUCAAAUCAGCCUCCCCCAAAAUAGGGACUCAGAGUUUGCCAACCCUGGAAGCCUAAAACUGUUUCCUUUGUCUUGUCAUUUCUCCACAAAGUCACUGUUCUUUGUUAACAUGCUAUAUAAACCAAAGUUCUAAGUCACCUCUUUGAGGUGCUCAUUUUUCCCUGGGUAUCUCCCAUAUGUACCUGAGGUAUGCAUGUUAAUAAACUUCUGUUGUUUUUCUCUUGUUAAUCUGUCU